ensembl:lncRNA
UGUGUCCCUAUGGCUCUCUAUGGCUCUCUAUGGGUCUCUAUGGGUCCCUACGGCUCUCUGUGGGUCUCUAUGUGUCCCUACAGCUCUCUAUGGGUAUCUGUGGGUCCCUACGGCUCUCUAUGGGUCUCCAUGUGUCCCUAUGGCUCUCUAUGGGUCUCAGUGUGUCCCAAUGGGUCUCAGUGUGUCCCAAUGGCUCUCUAUGGCUCUCUAUGGGUCCCUACGGCUCUCUAUGGGUCUCCAUGUGUCCCUACGGCUCUCUAUGGGUCUCAGUGUGUCCCAAUGGGUCUCAAUGUGUCCCUAUGGGUCUCAAUGUGUCCCUAUGGGUCUCCAUGGGUCCCUACGGCUCUCUAUGGGUCUCAGUGUGUCCCAAUGGGUCUCAAUGUGUCCCUAUGGGUUUCAGUGUGUCCCAAUGGGUCUGAAUGUGUCCCUAUGGCUCUCUAUGGGUCUCAGUGUGUCCCUAUGGGUCUCUGUGUGUCCCUAUGGCUCUCUAUGGGUCUCUGUGUGUCCCUAUGGCUCUCUAUGGCUCUCUAUGGGUCUCUCUGGGUCCCUACAG